CCGCGCUCGUACGUGCGCCUCCGCCGGCAGCUCCUGACUCAUCGGGGGCUCCGGGUCACAUGCGCCCGCGCGGCCCUAUAGGCGCCUCCUCCGCCCGCCGCCCGGGAGCCGCAGCCGCCGCCGCCACUGCCACUCCCGCUCUCUCAGCGCCGCCGUCGCCACCGCCACCGCCACCGCCACCGCCACCGCCACCGCCACUACCACCGGCUGAGUCUGCAGUCCCGAGGAGAAAUGCAAGCCUGGCAGCCAUUCCGCUCUGAGGAGAUCUGGGGGAACCCCACCGGCUGGCCAAGCUGCAAAGAGGCGCGGGAACCACUGUCGUGCCCCUCCCCUCCUCACUGCAGUGUUCUCCCAUCUCAUCAUUUGAUCGUACCCCGCCCCCCACUGCAGUGACCUCCCCUUCCUCACUGCAUUGACCUUCUCCUCUUCCCAGGGGGGAGGGGGAAUCCCUUCUACAGCCCUAGACUGCAGCCAGCGCCUCCCUACCCACCCCCCACCCACUGCAGUAACCUCUUUCCCAUCCCUCCCAGCCUCCCGCCCCGCCCAUUGAUCUCAGGCUCCACCCCUCUAAGCCUCUUAUCUUUCUCCUUCCUUCCCUUCCACCCGAGGAGAUCCCAGCCAUCAUGUCCAUAGAGAAGAUCUGGGCCCGGGAGAUCCUGGACUCCCGCGGGAACCCCACAGUGGAGGUGGAUCUCUAUACUGCCAAAGGUCUUUUCCGGGCUGCAGUGCCCAGUGGAGCCUCUACGGGCAUCUAUGAGGCCCGGA
rnacentral:lncRNA from 1 species